AACGAACGCUGGCGGCAUGCCUAACACAUGCAAGUCGAACGAGACCUUCGGGUCUAGUGGCGCACGGGUGCGUAACGCGUGGGAACCUGCCCUUAGGUUCGGAAUAACUCCCCGAAAGGGGUGCUAAUACCGGAUAAUGUCUUCGGACCAAAGAUUUAUCGCCUUUGGAUGGGCCCGCGUUGGAUUAGCUAGUUGGUAGGGUAAAAGCCUAUCAAGGCGACGAUCCAUAGCUGGUCUGUGAGGAGGAUCAGCCACACUGGGACUGAGACACGGCCCAGAAUCCUACGGGAGGCAGCAGUGGAGAAUAUUGGACGAGGGGCGAAAGCCUGAUCCAGCAAUGCCGCGUAAGAGAUGAAGGCCUUAGGGUUGUAAAGCUCUUUUACCCGGGAUGAUAGUGACAGUACCGGGAGAAUAAGCACCGGCUAACUCCGUG
rnacentral:rRNA from 1 species